CGGCGGGGUCUUAGUCUCGCUGCAGCGGGUGCUCCAGGUCUGGCUUCCGUUUUCUGUGUCCUCUGCUCCUAGAGGCCCAACCUCUGUUGCACUGUGAUCUGGUUAUUGGGAGAUUCACAGUUAAGACGCCAGGAUCCCCCGGAAGCCUAGAAAUGGUGAGAGUGCCAGCUAUGUGUUCUCAUUUUGCCCAAGAUCUUUGGCUAGAGCAGAACAUAAAGGAUUCUUUCCAGAAGGUGACACUGAGCAGAUAUGGAAAGUAUGGACAUAAGAAUUUACAGUUAAGAAAAAGCUAUAAAAGUAUGGAUGAGUGUAAGGGACACCAAGUAGGUUAUAAUGGACUUGACCAAUGUUUGAAAACUACCUCAAGCAAAAUAUUUCAGUGUAAUAAAUAUGUAAAAGUCAUUCAUAAAUUUUCAAAUUCAAAUGACACAAGAUAAGACGUACUGAAAAUAAACAUUUCAGAUAAUCAUUUUGCAUGCGUUCACGUCUAACUCAACAUAAAAGAAUUCAUACUAGAGAGAGUUUCUACAAAUGUGAACAAUGUGGAAAAACCUUUAACUGGUCCACAAACCUUUCUAAACAUAAGAAAAUUCAUACCGGAGAAAAACCCUACAAAUGUGAAGAAUGUGGAAAAGCCUUUCACCAAUCCUCAAUCCUUACUAAACAUAAAAUUACUCAUACUGGAGAAAAACCCUAUAAAUGUGCACACUGUGGCAAAGCCUUUAACCAGUCCUCACACCUUACUAGACACAAGAUAAUUCACACUGAAGAGAAACCCUACAAAUGUAAACAAUGUGGCAAGGUCUUUAAGAAGUCCCCAACCCUUACUAAACAUCAGGUAAUUCAUACUGGAGAGAAACCAUACAAAUGUGAGGAAUGUGGCAAAACUUUUAACCUAUCUUCAUAACUUACUGAACAUAAGAAAAAUUACACUAGAGAGAAACCCUACAAAUGUGAAGAAUGUGGCAAAGCCUUUAACCAGUUUUCAACCCUUACUACACAUGAGAUAAUUCAUAGCGGAGAGAAACCCCACAAAUGUGAAGAAUGUGGCAAAUCUUUUAACCUGUCCGCAAAGCUUACUGAACGUAAGUUAAUUCAUACUUGAGAAAAACCCUACAAAUGUAAAGAAUGUGGAAAAGCUUUUCACCGAUCUUCAAUCCUUAGUACACAUAAGAAAAUUCAUACUGGAGAGAAACCCUACAAAUGUGAAGAAUGUGGAAAAGCCUUUAACCAGUCCUCACACCUUACAAGGCAUAAGAUAAUUCAUAGUAAAGAAAAACCCUACAAAUGUGAACAGUGUGGCAAGGUCUUUAAGAAGUCCCCAGCCCUUACUGCUCAUAAGAUCAUUUAUACUGGAGAGAAACCUUACACAUGUGAGGAAUGUGGCAAAGAUUUUAGCCAACUCUCAAACCUUACUCAACAUAAGAUUCAUACUAGAGAGAAACCCUACAAAUGUGAAGAAUGUGGCAAAUCUUUUAACCAGUUCUCACAACUUGCUAUACAUAAGAUAAUUCAUACUUGAAUGAAACCCUAAAAAUGUGAACAAUGUGGCAGAUCUUUUAACCAGUUCUCAAACUUUACUAUGCAUAAGAAAAUUCAAACUGGAGAGAAACCCUACAAAUGUGAAGAAUGUGGCAAAGCUUUUAACCAAGUUUCAACACUUACUAUAUGUAAGAGAAUUUAUACUGGAGCAAAACCUUGGAAAUUCAAAGAAUGUGGCAAAACUUAUAAUCCUCAAAACUUCCUACACAUAAGAAAAUUCAUGCAGGAGAGAAACCCCACAAAUGUGAAAAAUUUGGUAAAUAACCAGUCUUCAACCCUUUUUACAUAAAAUUCAUACUGGAGAGAAACCCCACAAAUAUGAAGAAUGUGGAAAUACUUUUAACCAAUUCUCAAACCUUACGAAACAUAAGAAAAUUGAUACUGAAAAUGUUACAAACCAGAGAGAUGUGAUAAUGAUUUUAACAAAACCUUCCAACUUUUCUAAACAUAAAGGAAAUCAUACUGAGACAGAGUGAUAGCUGAAGACAACUUGAGCUUGGGGUCAGAGGGUCUGAUUUUAGGUCUGGAGUCGAUGUCUUAAAGGCUAUGUGAGAUUGACACUGUCUCCAACCUCUCUUCUGCAAAAUGAGAAAGGUGAGUC